rnacentral:rRNA from 1 species
UACAGAGGUCCCAAGCGUUGUUCGGAUUCACUGGGCGUAAAGGGUGCGUAGGUGGCCAGGUAAGUUUGGUGUGAAAGCUCGGAGCUUAACUCCGAAAAGUCAUUGAAUACUAUCUGGCUGGAGGGUCGGAGGGGAGACUGGAAUUCUCGGUGUAGCAGUGAAAUGCGUAGAUAUCGAGAGGAACACCAGUGGCGAAGGCGAGUCUCUGGACGACUCCUGACACUGAGGCACGAAAGCUGAGGGGAGCAAACAGGAGUUAGAAAAGCCCUGGUGAGUCCCAGA